CGCGCAGGCGGAUCAGCAAGUCAUAUGUGAAAUCUCGGGGCUCAACCUCGAAAUUGCGUCUGAAACUGCUAGUCUAGAAUGUCAUAGGGGGUAGGGGUAUUUCACGUGUAGGGGUAAAAUCCGUAGAGAUGUGAAGGAACACCGGAGGCGAAGGCGCCUACCUGGAUGACUAUUGACGCUGAGGCGCGAAAGCGUGGGGAGCAAACA
rnacentral:rRNA from 1 species